UACGAAGGGGGCUAGCGUUGCUCGGAAUGACUGGGCGUAAAGGGCGCGUAGGCGGCGGCCACAGUCAGAUGUGAAAUUCCUGGGCUUAACCUGGGGGCUGCAUUUGAUACGUGGUUGCUUGAGUGGGGAAGAGGGUCGUGGAAUUCCCAGUGUAGAGGUGGAAUGCGUAGAUAUCGGGAGGAACACCAGUGGCGAAGGCGGCUUCCUGGACCGGUUCUGACACUGAGGAGCGAAAGCGUGGGGAGCGAUCCGG
rnacentral:rRNA from 1 species